rnacentral:rRNA from 1 species
GGAGGGUGCAAGCGUUAAUCGGAAUUACUGGGCGUAAAGCGCACGCAGGCGGUUGGAUAAGUUAGAUGUGAAAGCCCCGGGCUCAACCUGGGAAUUGCAUUUAAAACUGUCCAGCUAGAGUCUUGUAGAGGGGGGUAGAAUUCCAGGUGUAGCGGUGAAAUGCGUAGAGAUCUGGAGGAAUACCGGUGGCGAAGGCGGCCCCCUGGACAAAGACUGACGCCCAGGUGCGAAAGCGUGGGGAGCAAACAGGAUUAGAUACCCUGGUAGUCCACGCCGUAAACGAUGUCGAUUUGGAGGCUGUGUCCUUGAGACGUGGCUUCCGGAGCUAACGCGUUAAAUCGACCGCCUGGGGAGUACGGCCGCAAGGUUA